rnacentral:rRNA from 1 species
UUUAGUCAGGCAACGAGCGAGACCCGCACUCUUAAUUGCCAGCAGCAGUUUCGACUGGCUGGGUACAUUAGGAGGACUGCCAGUGCCAAACUGGAGGAAGGAACGGGCAACGGUAGGUCAGUAUGCCCCGAAUGAGCUGGGCUACACGCGGGCUACAAUGGUCGAGACAAUGGGAAGCCACCUCGAGAGAGGGCGCUAAUCUCCGAAACUCGAUCGUAGUUCGGAUUGUGGGCUGAAACUCGCCCACAUGAAGCUGGAUUCGGUAGUAAUCGCACCUCAGAAGGGUGCGGUGAAUACGUCCCUGCUCCUUGCACA